rnacentral:lncRNA from 1 species
CGACGCCCCGGCUGAGCCAGUCGUUUCCGAGUUCUCCGGCCCCUGAUGGGGACGUCUGCGCCCCUCUUCUCAGGCCAGAGGUGCAGAGAUAUACUUCCCCCGUCCCGGGGCUCAGCCAGCACUGCUAGGUUGUGCUACGAGCCAAGGACUGGCUGCCAGGAGCUCCUGGGGGCACCGCAGUGUGGGCCACCAGCUUGGAAGCAGAGGUCCCACCAGAUCUAGCGCUCAAUAAGGAGCAGCAGCUGCAGAUCUCCAAGGAGCUGGUCGACAUUCAGAUCACAACCCACCACCUACAUGAGCAGCAUGAGGCUGAAAUCUUCCAGCUGAAGAGUGAGGUGCAGCCCAAGAACACCAUGAACCCCGAGAAUGAGCAGCACAGGCUGGGGAGCGGCGUGAGUGUGCAGCCACCUAGCUCAGGGGAGAGGGCAGCACCAGAGACCCCAAGCCUAGGGUCUCAUCCAGCCAGCCCUGUGUGCCCCACAGCUGCAGGGGGAAGUGAAGUGGGC